rnacentral:rRNA from 1 species
AGCGAACGCUGGCGGCAGGCCUAACACAUGCAAGUCGAACGGACCCUUCGGGGUUAGUGGCGGACGGGUGAGUAACACGUGGGAACGUGCCUUUAGGUUCGGAAUAGCUCCUGGAAACGGGUGGUAAUGCCGAAUGUGCCCUUCGGGGGAAAGAUUUAUCGCCUUUAGAGCGGCCCGCGUCUGAUUAGCUAGUUGGUGAGGUAAUGGCUCACCAAGGCGACGAUCAGUAGCUGGUCUGAGAGGAUGACCAGCCACACUGGGACUGAGACACGGCCCAGACUCCUACGGGAGGCAGCAGUGGGGAAUCUUGCGCAAUGGGCGAAAGCCUGACGCAGCCAUGCCGCGUGAAUGAUGAAGGUCUUAGGAUUGUAAAAUUCUUUCACCGGGGACGAUAAUGACGGUACCCGGAGAAGAAGCCCCGGCUAACUUCGUG